CCCGUUUCCGGUGCUGUGUACCCGGAAGAUCCUACAUCUUCAUUUGCAUCUCUUAGUAGGCGUCCCCAGAAAGUUUCUUCUCCCCGGGGCCCGCAGUGAACAUUUUGAUGUUAACGGGUGUGGACCAUCAGGAAAGGGCGCCACCCUGGCACUGCCGGAUUAUCACCCUCAGAGAAGCAAAGCAAUUGCCGAACCAUCUCCCGAUAUUUCUUGUGGGUGGGGGAGAGCCUUCUCCUGCCCGGCUCAGCCAGUCCAAUCACCCUCACACAUGUGCGGAGCUCAGUGGGUUUCCAUGCUGGCGCACAGGGAAGAAAACACGUGGAGGAUGCAGAGAAAACCGCGUUAGAAAUGUGCAGAGCCGGGACAGCAUUUCAGUGUGCGGCAUCAUCAUGCAUGCUCUGUAA
rnacentral:lncRNA from 1 species